ACGCGGUAAAAACGAUGUGCGUUAUUAGCGCGUUUUUACCGCGAUUUUACCGCGUUUGCGGUAAAAAUAGCGCUAACGCCCAUGCAUUAUUACAGCGUUUUGAAAACGUUUUUCAAGCAUCAGCUUUAUAAAAGAAACACCACCCCCUGACAUCAUAUCCUGUCUACUUCCUGUAUUUUCGUAAAGGAAAGAGUACAAGGAUAAGAUGGAGUAUUAUGAGCUGCUUUUGUUGUUUGUGUAUUCUCCAACAGAGACCGCAACGUCGUUUUUGGGUUCAUCCCAUCCACCAAAUGCAUUCUGAGAGAGGACAAUUUGUACUACUUUAUCGUGAACUGAGAGAGCACCCUGAUAAAUUCAGAAAUUAUACUCGGAUGAGCAUCUCAACAUUUGACUUUCUUCUUGAUCUUCUGACACCAUUCUUGUCAAGACAGGAUACUAAUUGCAGGGAUGCAAUCUCACCAUGCGAACGCUUACUUAUAACGUUACGAUAUCUUGCCACAGGGAAUAGUUAUUCAUCACUGCAAUAUGAAUUUAGAAUUGGAAUCUCAACUAUAAGUGAAAUUGUGAAGCAAACAUGUGAUGCAAUAUGGACCCUGAAAUGUAGAUUCAUGCCAAUUCCAAGCAAAGAAAAAUGGGAAGAUAUUGCCCAGCGUUUUUGGAUGAAAACGAACUUUCCAAACUGUUUAGGAGCUAUUGACGGAAAACAUAUUAGGUUAAUAAAACCAUGCCAUAGUGGAAGUCAAUUUUUUAAUUAUAAAUUUUUUUUCCAUAGUUCUAUUGGCUGUGGUCGAUGCAGACUAUAAAUUUAUUUAUGUUGAUAUUGGAGCUUUCGGAAGCAGUGCAGACUCUGGUGUUUUCAAGCAUAGUAAAUUUGGAAAAAAACUGGCAUCUAAUGAACUAGAUUUGCCUGACAACCAACCCCUGCCCGGAACAGAAGGACCAGAUAUGCCAUUUGUUUUUGUAGCCGAUGAUGCAUUUGCUAUUCACGAACAUCUAAUGAAGCCCUUUUCAUUGAGAAAUCUUGAUACACGAAAAAGGAUAUUUAAUUAUAGGCUGUGUCGGGCACGUAGACUGGUAGAAUGUGCUUUUGGUAUACUAUCAAACAAAUGGCAAAUCUUUCUCAAACCAAUGAAUCUCAAAAUAGAGAAUGCAGCAAAGGUAGUAAAGGCUGCAUGUGUGCUACAUAAUUUAGUACGAGAGAGAGAUGGAGUAAAUUUUGAGGAUACAUUGGCAAACAAUAUGGAACCUGCAGAUUUUAUUCAUGUUCGUGGUCCAAUAGUGGGUUUCUCAAUUAGGGAUGAAUUUGCGGACUACUUUAUGAGUCCUGCCGGGGCAGUGAGUUGGCAGGAAGAUAUGAUUUAAAGUUUAAAUUGACCAGCUUCACUAUAGUUGACAUUAAUACUUUCAUUAAAAGCUUAAGAUAUAUGUGAUAUUCUAGUGUGUUAUUAAAUUUAUCAAUGCAA